rnacentral:rRNA from 1 species
CCUUUCGGGGUGCGUUUUCGGGCGACGAGUGGCGGACGGGUGAGUAACGCGUGGGAAUCUGCCCGGCGGCGGGGGACAGCCCGGGGAAACCCGGAUUAAUACCGCAUACGUCCUAUGGGAGAAAGGCGGGGAUCUUUUCGGAGACCUGUCGCCGCCGGAUGAGCCCGCGUUGGAUUAGGUUGUUGGGGGGGUAAUGGCCCACCAAGCCGACGAUCCAUAGCUGGUCUGAGAGGACGACCAGUCACACCGGAACUGAGACACGGUCCGGACUCCUACGGGAGGCAGCAGUGGGGAAUAUUGCGCAAUGGGGGCAACCCUGACGCAGCAAUGCCGCGUGUGUGAAGAAGGCCUUCGGGUUGUAAAGCACUUUCAAUUGGGAAGAAAAGCAUCCGGUUAAUACCCGGGUGUCUUGACGGUACCAUUACAAGAAGCACCGGCUAACUCCGUGCCAGCAGCCGCGGUAAUACGGAGGGUGCAAGCGUUAAUCGGAACCACUGGGCGUAAAGCGCACGCAGGCGGAUGUUUAAGUCAAAUGUGAAAGCCCCGGGCUCAACCUGGGAAUUGCAUUUGAUACUGGACAUCUUGAGUAUGGCAGAGAGAAGUGGAAUUCCGCAUGUAGCGGUGAAAUGCGUAGAGAUGCGGAGGAACAUCAGUGGCGAAGGCGACUUCUUGGGCCAAUACUGACGCUCAGGUGCGAAAGCGUGGGGAGCGAACAGGAUUAGAUACCCUGGUAGUCCACGCCGUAAACGAUGUCUACCAGCCGUUGCCGGGCUCAGACCCGGCAGUGGCCGAAGCUAACGCGUUUAAGUAGAACCGCCUGGGGGAGUACGG